rnacentral:rRNA from 1 species
GAUGAACGCUGGCGGCGUGCCUAAUACAUGCAAGUCGAGCGAACAGAUGAGGAGCUUGCUCCUCUGACGUUAGCGGCGGACGGGUGAGUAACACGUGGAUAACCUACCUAUAAGACUGGGAUAACUUCGGGAAACCGGAGCUAAUACCGGAUAAUAUAUUGAACCGCAUGGUUCAAUAGUGAAAGACGGUUUUGCUGUCACUUAUAGAUGGAUCCGCGCCGCAUUAGCUAGUUGGUAAGGUAACGGCUUACCAAGGCAACGAUGCGUAGCCGACCUGAGAGGAGGAGCAGCCAAAGUGGAACGGAGACACGAGCCAGAAGCCGACGGGAGGAAGCAGUCGGGAAUAGUGGAGAAGGGGCGCAGGCGUGAAACAGAAAUACAGCGUGAGUAAAAAAGGUCUGCGGAACGAAAAGCCUUUUGAGUGGGAAAGAAAAGAAGCCGGCUAAUAACAACAUGUCAUGAGGGGACGCAAAGAAUAAGAAACGGCGAACUGAGUG